GCCCAGACUCCUACGGGAGGCAGCAGUGGGGAAUAUUGCACAAUGGGGGGAACCCUGAUGCAGCGACGCCGCGUGAGCGAUGAAGUAUUUCGGUAUGUAAAGCUCUAUCAGCAGGGAAGAAAAUGACGGUACCUGACUAAGAAGCCCCGGCUAACUACGUGCCAGCAGCCGCGGUAAUACGUAGGGGGCAAGCGUUAUCCGGAUUUACUGGGUGUAAAGGGAGCGUAGACGGCAGUGCAAGUCCGGAGUGAAAGCCCGGGGCUCAACCCCGGGACUGCUCUGGAAACUGCGUCGCUGGAGUACGGGAGGGGCAGGCGGAAUUCCUGGUGUAGCGGUGAAAUGCGUAGAUAUCAGGAGGAACACCGGCGGCGAAGGCGGCCUGCUGGACCGUGACUGACGUUGAGGCUCGAGAGCGUGGGGAGCAAACAGGAUUAGAUACCCGAGUA
rnacentral:rRNA from 1 species